rnacentral:rRNA from 1 species
CCUGGUUGAUCCUGCCAGUAGUCAUAUGCUUUUCUCAAAGAUUAAUCCAUGCAUUUGUAAGUAUGAACAAAUUCAGACUGUGAAACUGUGAAUGGCACAUUAAAUCAUUUAUAGUUUGUUUGAUGGUAUCUACUACUCGGAUAACCGUAGUAAUUCUAUAUCUAAUAUGUGCAACAAACCCUGACUUCUAAAAGGGAUGCAUUUAUUAGAUAAAAGGUUGAUGCAGGCUCCGCCCAUUUCUGCGAUGAUUCAUGAUAAGUCAACGGAUCAUACAACCAUCGUUCCUACCAUGGUGGUGAUGGGUGAUGAAGAAUUAGAGUUUGAUUUUGGAGAGAGAUCCUGAGAAAUAGCUACCACAGCAAGGAAGGCAGUAGGUGCAUAAAUUUCCCAAUCCUGACAUAGGGAGGUAGUGACAAUAAAUAACAAUACCAGGAUCAAUGAGUCUGGUAAUUGGAAUGAGUACAAUCUAAAUCCCUUAACGAGGAUCCAUUGGAGGGAGAGUCUGGUGCCAGCAGCCAUGGUAAUUCCAGCUCCAAUAGCGUAUAUUUAAGUUGGUACAGUUAAAAAGCUCGAAGUUUGACUUUAGGAUUGGCCGGCCGGUCCACCUAUGGUGUGCAUUGUUCAUCUCAUCCCUUCUGUCGGCGAUGCACUCCUGGCCUUAACUGGCCAGGUCGUGCAUCCGACAAUGUUAAUUUAAAGAAAUUAGAGUGCUUAAGGCAAGCCUACGCUCUGUAUACAUUAGCAUGGGAUAACAUUAUAGGAUUUUGGUCCUAUUACGUUGGCCUUUGGAAUCGGAUUAAUGACUAACAGGGAUAGUCGGGGUCAUUUGUAUUUCAUAGUCAGAGGUGAAAUUAUUGGAUUUAUGAAAUACUAAAAACUAUGAAAGUAUUUUCCAAGGAUGUUUACAUUAAUCAAGAAUGAAAGUUGGGUGCUCGAAGGCGAUCAAAUACCAUCCUAGUCUCAAUUAUAAACGAUGCCGACCAGGGAUCGGAGGAUGUUGCUUUUAGGACUCCGCUGGAACCUUAUGAGAAAUCAAAGUUUUUGGGUUCCGAGGGGAGUAUGGUCACAAGCCUGAAACUUAAAAUAAUUGAUGGAAAGGCACCACCAGGAGAGGAGCCUGCGGCUUAAUUUGACUCAACACGGGGAAACAUACCAGGUCCAGACAUAGUAAGGAUUGACAGACUGAGAGCUCUUUGUUGAUUCCAUGGGUGGUGGUCCAUGGCCGUUCUUAGUUGGUGAAGCGAUUUUUUUGGUUAAUUCUGUUCAUGAACGUGACCACAGCCUACUAACUAUCUAUGCGGAGGUAUCCCUUUGGGGCCAUCUUCUUAGAGGGACUACAGCCUUUUAGGCCACGAAAGUUUGAGGAAAUAACAAGUCUGUGAUGCCCUUAGAUGUUCUGGGCCGCACGCGCACUACACUGAUGUAUUCAAUGAGUUUAUAGCUUUUUCUGACAGUCCCGGGUAAUCUUUGUAAUUUCAUAGUGAUGGGGAUAGAUCAUUGCAAUUGUUAGUCUUCAACGAGGAAUUCCUAGUAAGCGCGAGUCAUCAGCUCGCGUUGACUAUGUCCCUGCCCUUUGUACACACCGCCCGUGGCACUGUGGCACUAUGGCAGCAAGGAACCACUGUGCCAAAAUCAAAAGAGGAUAAAACUACGUUCGAUCAUCCUAAUAGUUUCCUGACGUUCAUCCAUCUACCUCACCGUUGCAUGCUCAUUU